UACGGAGGGUGCGGGCGUUGUCCGGAAUCACUGGGCGUAAAGGGCGCGUAGGUGGCGACCCAAGUCAACGGUGAAAGCUCGACGCUCAACGUCGAGUCGGCCGUCGAUACUGGGUUGCUCGAGCACUGUAGAGGCAGAUGGAAUUCCGGGUGUAGCGGUGGAAUGCGUAGAGAUCCGGAAGAACACCGGUGGCGAAGGCGGUCUGCUGGGCAGUAGCUGACACUGAGGCGCGACAGCGUGGGGAGCAAACAGG
rnacentral:rRNA from 1 species